rnacentral:rRNA from 1 species
AUACGUAGGGGGCGAGCGUUGUCCGGAAUGACUGGGCGUAAAGGGCGUGUAGGCGGCGGUGUAAGUCUGGAGUGAAAGUCCCGCAUUCAAUGUGGGAAUUGCUUUGGAUACUGCAGUGCUAGAGUGCGGAAGAGGUAAGCGGACUUCCCAGUGUAGCAGUGAAAUGCGUAGAGAUUGGGAGGAACACCAGUGGCGAAGGCGACUUACUGGGCCGUAACUGACGCUGAGGCGCGAAAGCGUGGGGAGCGAACAGGAUUAGAUACCCUGGUAGUCCACGCGGUAAACGAUGAAUGCUAGGUGUUGCGGGUAUCGACCCCUGCAGUGCCGGAGUAAACACAAUAAGCAUUCCGCCUGGGGAGUACGGCCGCAAGGUUGAAACUCAAAGGAAUUGACGGGG